CAAGCCAGCUAAGGUUCUGAGACUAGAAACCAAUGGAUGCUACAGCGGAUGUUUAUUGUUGUGACAGUGACAGACAAGUAACAAACUGAAAGGGAAAGUGAACACCAUUUCCCCAGGCAUUUCCCGCGUCCCAAGUUCCUUGUGGUUGUCCUAGCAUCUUCUCACUGGCAAUAGACAGAACAAGACACACACGUGGGAAGUGAGUGCAGCAGAAUAGACCUGGUGUUGUUGCAGUGGAGUUGGGUGAGGUCGUGAUGGAACCCUGGAUUAAAAUCACCAACCACACCUGCGGCCCUGGUGCAGGACCUGCAACGGACGCUUGAGGAAGGAGCACUCCAGCCUCAAAACCAGUGGGAAGUGUUAUCCAAACCACCUUGUUUGGAAGAGAAUGACAUUGCUGCCUGAGCUGCCCAAAGUAAGAUGCAAGGCCAGGAGACACCCUGAUAAAGGACAUUCAUUCUUUUUCCUUCCUGGCAUUUCUAACCCAGGAGGAUUCAUCUCUCCUGCAAACAACUUUCUCCAUAAAUGACUCUAUUCUUUGAUUGAUGUGUAAAUUCAGAGCUGGAGGGGGGAGUUGCACCUUCCCUUGGAGGCUGUAUAACCAGAAGCAGAGUCACUGGCAUCCAAUGAGGCAUGACACUUGAGGUCUUGAGGAGGCCAAAUUGUACCUUGGUAGAUGUCUGUCUCCUGUAAAGUGUUUGGUCAUGAAGAUACACACAGCCGGGUGACUUUACUUUAUAUUCAGCAGAAGAAAGGGUGUUUGGGAUGAUCAACGUGAAGGCCACAGCAUGGGAAAAGCUACAAUUCAAGUCCAUAUGUUUGUCUUAAAAAGAAGAUCAAAGACUUUGGGUUCCGCAUGAAGCACAGGGAUUGGAGAAGCCAAGUGGCUCUAAAAUCACAUCUGGGAAUUUAAACUUUUAAGAACACAAAAGAAAAAUCAUGUGGGGGAUUCUUUUGAGUGGAAUAGAGAGUUCAUUCCUGAGGAGUGAUUUCUGUCUGAGGCAGGUAGAUUACUUACUUGGAGGUUAGAAGAAUAAAGUGUAGAUAGGUUUUCUAAUCUCCUUUUCAUUGAUAGCUUGCCUGUCUACACUGAUUCACCAGGGCCAAUGGAAAGGAUUAAUGAAGAACAGUGAUCCUGGUCCUUUAACAAGAACUUCUGAAUUGAGGCUGUUCUCAAAUGGCCAAGGUCAGGAACUUCCCCUCAAUUAAAACUUGGUUGCUUCUUUAAUAAUUUAGCCCUGACCUCCUUUUUUUUUCUGGACCAUCUUCUCAUACAGACUCCAAUGAAUCCACUGGCUACUCUUCUUGUGGAGAUCCCUAAGUCCCACUAGUGCAGUGCUCUUUACAAUCCAUAGAGAAGUGGGUUAUUAUUUUGCCAAGGAAAGUAAAAUUACAGACUUUUUUCUUUUAUCUUUUUUCCCUAUAUAAUGGCAUGAUAGGCAGAGCCUACCAAAGUCAUCAUAUUGGGCACCUCCUGACCAUAUUCUGAUGGGACUCUGUCAGGGACAAAAAAGAAAAAAAUGGAAGAAAUAAUGGAAGAGACACACUAAUAUGAGACAUGCCGAGACAUGCGAUGGCUCCCUUACUAGCUGCUCUUCCUGAGUAUUGUGAAACAAAAGCUUCUAGGACAACAGGCUUCACUGGCAUACUGGAGAUGUUAUCAACCUCUACCUUCAUAGUUUAGGACACUGAAGGGAGACAGAGAUGUUUUCUAAAUGUGGAUGGCGUAGGGAGUGUCAGUAGCUGCAUGAGUUCUGGUCUAGAGGGAGGGACUCUGCAAUGCUCUUGCUGCUGCCUCGGGCUUCUAUUACAAGAGUUAAGGACACCAUCUCAAGGGCACGUCAGGUCAAGUUUGCAAACAUAUUAUUGAUGCACAAAGUGCCGCCCAAAAGAGUACUUUGCUUAGUGCAGUGGUCCUCAACCUUCCUAAUGCUGCAGUCUUUAGUGCAUUUCCUCAUGUUGUGGUGACCCCCAGCCACAAAAUUAGCUUCACUGCUACUUCGUAACUGUAAUUUUGCUACCAUUAUGAAUUGUAAUGUAAAUAUUUUUGGAGCUAAGAGUUUGCCAAAGGGGUCAUGACCCACAGAUUGAGAGCCACUUGUCUAGGGGCUUGAGUUCCAUUUGAUAGGUUGCCCUUGGUAAUUCACUUGGAUGGAUGCUUGCUCUUCCAGCAGAUGGAGAGAGAAGGAAUAACACCCAACUUGGAGAUGAAGCACCCAAUGCUAUCACUAUGGAAAGCAAACAAACCUCCUUUUAACUCGAACUGUACUUCAGACACUUUAAAUGGUUAACUUUGUAGAAGGAGAGUUAGAGACAGUACCUAAUCCCAGCUUGAUGCAAUUACUUUAACAUGAAUUUAAAAUAAAAUUAAAGUUAGCAGUUUAAACUGAUGUUUGAGGGUUUUAAAAAGAUUUAGUUUCCUUUGGAACCACUGUGUCAUUUGAUCCAGUACAUCUUUACCCCAGUACCAUUACUACUAGAUUAUGCCCAUAGGUUGAGUUACAAAUGUCUAAAAAUCUUAAAAUUAUUAAGCUCAGAUUAGAGUGUUCAAAGCCUAUGGUGUUAUUUUAGUCUCCUGCCAUAUCCUCCAUUUACUAUAAACUUGUUAUAUUGGCAUUCAAAUAAAAUGUCAUAAAGCAAGUAUGUAAGGAGGUGUUUGGGGUUUGUUGCAGGCUUCUGUGAGCCAAGUUUGCAUGGCAACCAAGAUGUAUAACAGAAACACUCAAAUGGUCUUCAUAAAAAGAAAUGCUGAGCAGAUCUUAAGGAUCAAGCAACUUCGAAGCUCAGGAAGACUAUGGGAGCUGGUCAGAGUGAUAAUUGGGUGCCUGGAUGGGGACAGCAUGUGACCCAACAUGGUCUCAGAGGUUCUUCAAAUCUCCCUUUGUUGUAGCCACCAAUUGCUAAUGUGUGAGAGGCCAGGUCUCCAGGGAUGCAGCUUCAUGGAAUUUGCAGCUGUUACUCUUGGAAGCCACCAUCAACACUACCUUAACCAAACCCCUUGCAUUACAGAUGAGGACAUGGAGACCCAGAUUUCCUCACAGUCUCAGAGGCCUGCUUAUAUAGCAGAAACACACAAGUAUGCAUUUACCCAUAUUCUCUGCUUCAGUGACUUCACUUAUGUUUUCCAAUUGGAUCACAAACCCCAACUGUUUUAAGUCAGACCAGAAUGAGCAAGUGUGGAUUUAUAAGGCUUCCAUUUGGACAUUGCCUCCACAAGACACAUAGGAAACUUUUUGGUUCAUACAUCAUGGGCAACCCAGAUCAGUCAAACUACUAGAUACCUCCUUAGAAAGGACAUCUCAUGAGAUUAAGUCAACAGUGCAUCGUUUUCUCUGUGGAGAAAGUACCCAAUGAAGCUGAAUUAGCUAGUCAGUACUUACAGAAAGGGAGGUGAGCUCCCUUGAAACUCUCUGGAUUCCUGAAACCCAGAUGAAGGAUGCAAGAUCAGUUACCUUGAAUGAGGUAUGGAAUAAGUCUUACUUAGAGCAAAGUGAAGUCAUUUAACUGUAACACAUUUUUCAAUAUAUUAGUGACUACCAAAAAGGAUGUAGCCUAUUUUUUUUAACCAUUCCAAAGGUGCUUGUAGUUUCCUCUGUAAGCCCUACUAAGAGGAGGAUUCACUAAAAGUUUUGCUAAAUACCUCUGCAAGCACAAAUUGAAACGAAGAGAGGCUAGGAAACCAUUUGGCACUAUUAGAAAAUGAUGCUUCAUUACACAGAAAUAUUUACGUGUGUGCUAAGUGGAAGCACUUCGUGGGGUAAUGUCUGUCUUGUCUCUCCCUAUGCAUGUCCAUCACUUAGAAUCUCCCUUAAAAAGUUAUCUUCAACAUUGAGGAGAUCCAUCAGUCAGUUAGGGCUUCAUCAGAAAGGCAAAGCAACAAUGAAUAGUAUAGAAUCAGGGAGUUAUUCUAGAAACCAGCCUUCAUGCUAUCUUGGGAGUUGGUAUUUCAUGUUCAUAAGGUUUUGUUGUUGGAUCUAGCAGUCAGUAGGACAAAGGCAUGGUUAUAGGGGGAAACAAUGACAUGCUGGGACCCUGUCUGUUUUUUCCUGCAUCCAGAUGGUGAUGUAGGUGACGUGGGAUAUGGUGUCAGUUUUCCAUAGAGGUUCCCAGGUAUCUAAUGUAAGAUUUAGAAAAAUCAGUGAAGGGGACACAUUGGGAGAUAAAGGUGCUAUGGGUCCACCCAUUGCCCCAAUAACAAAGCAAGCCAGUGCAGCAUCAUCAUCAUAGGUUAGUCAUACCAGAAGCUGAACCAUAGAUCGCUCACACAUGUAAACAGGCUACCUCGACUCAUUGCUGCCCUCAGUUCUGAGCAACUGUCUCUUAUGCCAAGUCUCUUUACAGAACUAUUCAGACAAAGACAUUCUGGAAAGUGUAGUUUAACUCUUUGUAGCCAGCUAGCCUGUCACAAAUAAAAUCACUAAGGUCACCCCCAAAUUCUUAAUGAGAGAGUUGCCAAACAUGUGACCUGCAAGAAGUAUAUGCCUUUUUAAAAAUUAUUUUGAUUUCAUGUAAACAGUCUAUCACUGAAGACUUAGCUUGCACUCUAAUGAUUAUUAUGACUAAGAAGUUUCUUACACAUUAACCAGCCAUUUGGAAAGCUUCCUUUAUGGAAUUCCUAUUCAGCUUUCAAAACCAGUUUUUCCUAAUUGGCUAUAUUUCUCUUACAUGGUAUGAGGUCUUUAUUACACGCAUACUUUGGAUAUGAGUCCUCUUUCAGAUACAUUUGUUGAAAAUAUGUUCUCCCCUGACAUGGCUUGCUCUUGGGAGUUAUUAAUGGCAUCUUUCAAUAAAUAGUUCCUAACUA